rnacentral:misc_RNA from 1 species
GUGAAUCAUCGAAUUUUUGAACGCAUAUUGCACUCUCUGGUAUUCCGGAGAGUAUGCCUGUUUGAGGGUCAUUAGAAAGAAUCUUUACCAAGUUUUUUGGUCAAAGGGGAUGAUUUCUCCGCGUUUAUAGCGGUAGCUUGAAGUAAAUGGUCAAGUCUCAUUUUAGUCGAGACGCGUAAUAAUAUUAUUUAACGGAAUCUUUAUUCUGUUACUAUCAAGUUUUCAUGCUUACCGUUUUGGUUUGUGU